AGCUCCACAUCCGAUUCUCUCUCUCUUUUUCCCCUCUUCAGGGCUUUAAUUCCAGGGUUUCUAUCUCAGUCCCCGUUUUCUCCGCUUGAUACGAUCGGCGGCGGCGUGAUUCCCUCCCAGUCUCGCUAUACUGUAGUUAAAGUAUGGCAUUGGAAGUUACCCAGUUGCUCUUAGAUGCUCAGUCGAUUGACGGAACUGCGCGUAAGCAGGCAGAAAGAAAGUCUCAAGCAAUUUCAGGAGCAAAACCUUUCAGGUUUCUUGUUGUCCCUUGCUGGAGAGCUUGCAAACGAUGAGAAACCAGUCGAUAGCCGAAAAUUAGCAGGGUUGGUCCUGAAAAUUGCUCUCGAUGCAAAGGAACAGCACGGAAAGUAUGAGCUUGUCCAGACUCUAGAGAUGUAAGUUUCUUUUUGUUGUUGCACAGUGAUGUGUGUUGCCAGAGUUUAGAUCGAUGUUAAAUUAAUACAUAGUUUUGCCUAACCGGGAUGAGGUGGUGAUGAAGACUGCGAUUGGGGUCCUAGGAGAUUUAGCUGAAACACUAGGAAACCAUGUGGGUGCUUUGAUACAACAGUCUGGGCCGAGUAAAGAGUUCUUAAACGAAUGCCUGUCUUCUGAAGACCACAUGAUUAAAGAAGCUGCGGAAUGGACCAAGCGUGCUAUUAGCCGAGCAUUUUCCGUUUGAGGCUCUUUGCUGCUUGUGGCUUAGAACGCCAUUUUGUUUCUGCUCUUUUGGAAGAAAAGUCUGCAUACAUCUGGGUGGGUUGAGUUCAGUUAGAGUUGAGUUUGGCCGGGGUAGAGGGGGUUGCAUCAUCUUCACUUUCAUUGUCGGCGUCGUUGGGUCGGGCAUCUUUUUUGUCGAGGAGGAGGAAGAAGAAGGCGGGGUAUUAACUAGCGGGUGAAGGCGGUCCAAAGGGAAGAAUCUCUAGUCAUGGCCGGGGAAAGGAGUCGGGUGAAACGUUUUUCUCGUCAGGAGGGGAGGGGGGGAAGGAGUCUGGUUCGUUUGCAGAUGGUCGGACAAGUAAAACCAAAGUCAUACCAUGGAAAAGAAACAGCAUUUUGUUUCUAUUUCUCUUAUGCCAUGUUCUUCACCCGAAGAGGGGGGUCUGUUUUGAUAGUCACACACCACCCAAGAAUGGUUUUGAAGAAUUCCUAAGCAGAGAAUGGAUAAGAAGUUGAAUGGUGAAGAAAGGAGCAAAGAAGGGUCCCCCCAUCAUGACAGCCUGACAGGGAGCAAAGUGUACAUCAGCCCGGCUUCAAGAGCGUGGGAAAGGUCAUUUCUUUCGGUGAGCUUCGCUUUGAGAAAGGCCAAGUGAUGGAUAUCAUUUUCUUCCUCCAAAGAGUCACUCCUGUUGUAUGAUCAGUGAACAUUCUCACUCAUUCUCUUGGCCUUAUUGAUAAUCACGAGUAGCAAGUCCUUGUAUACAUACACAUAUACAUAUUAUUACUCCUGUCAUGAAAGAGAUCAACUUUACACCGUAUAAAUGCAUGGUAUUUGUAGAUUAUUGAAUGCCAAUAAUGGGUAUUCGUAUAUAUUA